rnacentral:tRNA from 1 species
GCGGUGGUGGCGGAAUGGGAAGCCGCACGGGGUUUGGAACCCUGAAACACCACAAAUGUUAUGCGGGUUCAAGUCCCGUUCACCGCA